rnacentral:pre_miRNA from 1 species
GUUGUGAUAUAAGGUUUUAGGGUAAUUUUAUCAUUUUUAAGAAAACAAAAUUUAAUACCUUCAGAUAUUCGGUAUCUAUGUAAAAAAUUUUUAGAUCCCUCAAUAAAAUUUAAUACCUAAAAUCUAAACGUAUUAAAUUUUGUUUUCUUAAAAAUUAUAAAAUUACCCUAAUACAUAAUACCUCAAU